GACUCAGGACAGGGCUCCUCAGAAUCAACAGACACGAGACCCAAGGAUUCCACCUCACCUGGGGACGCGAUGUUGCAGCCCUGGCAUAUUUGGGCCUCUUCUGGCUGCCCUGGGCCUGGCCUCUCUGUGUCUGGACCUGAGUGCAGUCAGGUCCCCACAGCCUUCAAGUCUUAAAGACACACAGACCACAAAAGAAAACUUCAUUUUCCCCGGAGGACCAAGACACUGGAAACCUGGCCAGGAGCUGCCCCCAACCCUCAGCUGAAGCUUCCAGGGGCUCCAUAACAUCCCAUCCCAACCCUGGAAAGAGCCAGAGGUGAUGGAACUCCAUCUCCCCAUCCCCCACCUGUCCUACAGGCUUCAGACUAUCCUCAAAAAGUUCGGGUAAGGCAGCGCUGAAGGGAAGUUCCAGGGACCUUGCUUUCUCCACUCCAGUCCCCAAUAUUCAGUCAACAUCUCUUGGCUGGCUGGGGCUGAUUAUUAUAAAGUACAACCUUUGUGAGAGGGAAGACUGACGUUCAAAGAAGUGAAGCAACUCACCCAGCGAAUAAGUGAGUAGAACAAGGGCUAACACCCAAGUCUU
rnacentral:lncRNA from 1 species